UGGAUCCAGACUUUGAUCAUGGCUCAGGAUGAACGCUAGCUACAGGCUUAACACAUGCAAGUCGAGGGGCAGCAUGACGAUAGCUUGCUAUUGUUGAUGGCGACCGGCGCACGGGUGAGUAACGCGUAUCCAACCUUCCCGUUGCUAGGGGAUAACCUUGCGAAAGUAAGACUAAUACCCUAUGAUGUUCUUCGCAGACAUCUAAAGAGAACCAAAGAUUUAUCGGCAACGGAUGGGGAUGCGUCUGAUUAGGUUGUUGGCGGGGUAACGGCCCACCAAGCCUACGAUCAGUAGGGGUUCUGAGAGGAAGGUCCCCCACAUUGGAACUGAGACACGGUCCAAACUCCUACGGGAGGCAGCAGUGAGGAAUAUUGGUCAAUGGACGGAAGUCUGAACCAGCCAAGUAGCGUGCAGGACGACGGCCCUAUGGGUUGUAAACUGCUUUUAUGUGGGAAUAAAGUGAGGGACGUGUCCCUUUUUGUAGGUACCACAUGAAUAAGGACCGGCUAAUUCCGUGCCAGCAGCCGCGGUAAUACGGAAGGUCCGGGCGUUGUCCGGAUUUAUUGGGUUUAAAGGGAGCGUAGGCCGUCUUUUAAGCGUGUUGUGAAAUACUGUCGCUCAACGACAGAGGUGCAGCGCGAACUGGGAGACUUGAGUGCGCGGAAUGCAGGCGGAAUUCGUCGUGUAGCGGUGAAAUGCUUAGAUAUGACGAAGAACUCCGAUUGCGAAGGCAGCUUGCAGUAGCGUAACUGACGCUGAAGCUCGAAAGUGCGGGUAUCGAACAGGAUUAGAUACCCUGGUAGUCCGCACGGUAAACGAUGGAUGCUCGCUGUGUGCCCUUGGGUACGCGGCCAAGCGAAAGCAUUAAGCAUCCCACCUGGGGAGUACGCCGGCAACGGUGCAACUCAAAUGAAUUGACGGA
rnacentral:rRNA from 1 species